UACGUAGGGGGCUAGCGUUGUCCGGAAUCAUUGGGCGUAAAGCGCGCGUAGGCGGCCCGGUAAGUCCGCUGUGAAAGUCAAAGGCUCAACCUUUGAAUGUCAGCGGAUACUGCCGGGCUAGAGUCCGGAAGAGGCGAGUGGAACUCCUGGUGUAGCGGUGGAAUGCGCAGAUAUCAGGAAGAACACCAACGGCGAAGGCAGCUCGCUGGGACGGAACUGACGCUAAGGCGCGAAAGCGUGGGUAGCAAACAGG
rnacentral:rRNA from 1 species